AUCCGGCCAGCCACCAGCCAGAUUCCCGCCGGCCAGCCAGCAGCCCCAACCCGCUCUCUGUUUUCAGAAUUUGAAAUUCCAUGCCAAGGCUUAAUUUCUUUCCUAUUCUACAUCUCCUCAUAGUAGGAAAUUUGGCCUGUUUAAUUCACAGAAGUUUUCCAACGGGAUUAGCAGCAAGCUAUUUAGGGAAUCUUCUUGUAAUAGUAAACCUGAUAAUCAAGUAUCAGAUUUACUAAUUCCGUGAAUGCCUCAUGAGAAGCCAGGCAAUUAAUCCGAUUGCUCCCUCCUUUCUCUCUCUAAUCCCCAUUUAAUCACCACUUAAAUGCCCCUCUUAAUUCCCCUCCCUCUCUUGCUCUAAUUUCAAAAUUCAAAUCUGAAAUUGAAAUUAAAAUUGCAGCUCAUAUUUAGAAUCUGAAAUAAAAUUCAGAUUUGUUUUCUCUCCACCAUAGCCUAACCCAACCCCCUCUGUUUUCCCCCCACCCGAGCCCUCUUCUCUUGGGUUCUCUCCCCUUGCCCUCUCAUCUACAAGCAAAAGAGAUGUAUGGCGGAUCCGGAGUUUGAAUGGGGGCUUGUGUUCGACGCCCAUGACAAUCUUGACGUCAUACAAUCGCCAUUGUUUGACGCGGGAUUUGAUUCCGACGACGACACCGUUGGAGCCUACUUGGACCGGAUCCUCCCGACUCUCAUACACGUCAUCGACAAACAACGUCCAGACUCCGAGGGGAUCAUUGGCGGCCGCCGACCCACUCCUCCAAAUCCGGCUUCUUCCCCGGCGACGAGUCCUCUCGGGAUCACCUGUCUACUAGUGGCCUCACUAAGUCUACUUACGAUCCUCCUCCGCUAGCCACCACUUUCAAAACGAGGGAAGGACUUCAAGGUGAAUGAUUUAAAUUUUAAGCGUGUGGCUUUAGUGAAAGUUAUUUGCAUUAUUUAGUUAUCUUUUGGUUAUAUUUUUGCAAGACUUUUGUAACUCUCAAGUGUAGUCAAUGCCUACCGCUUAAUCUAUCACGAAUUUUUCUUGAAUCCUAAUUGAGUAAGCUAAAUUUUAUUGUUAAUGUUGCAAAGUUAAAACUUUCACUAAUCUCUCAAGUGCAAUUCAUGUUUCACCGCUUGUUGUUUCACAUCAAUUAAACAUUUCUUUACAUGUAAAGUAGUCAUUCUGUCUUUUGCAUGUGGUGCAUUGCUGUUUUUAUGGUUGGCAUAUCCCUGCGUCGAAUGGGAAAUUGGUUACUGUAGUAGGGUAUGUUCGAUAAUCGUUUUUUCUAAAAAAUGAAUGCUUAGUAUCUAUAGGUUCUCAUGGAUUAAUGUUCAAAACUAUUCAUGAGCUUAUAAACUAUGUUUAAUGACUGGCAAGUUGAAUAACCUGUAGCGUCAGUACAGGUUCUUUAGAAUAAAACUAACUGUUUUUUGUGAUUAUUUUAUGUUUUCCGGCUUUCAUUAUGUGUGAUUCAUAUUCUUCUAUCAGAUGGAAAUCAAAUAAAAUUAAUUCUGAAUGUUGGCGGACCUGAUAGAUUGUCCAGGGCACAAAUGGCUGUGGCGGUUGCUGACUAUCGAGGCUAUAAUCUCUCAUUGAUCAAAUUGGUAUCUGCAGCAUCUAUCAAUCGUGGAGUUGUGUCCCCAGCAGAUAUAUCUAUGGACAUCAGCAGGCUGAUUCAGGCGCUUGGGAUCAAUCCUAUUUCAUUUAAAGAAGGUGUCAGACUGACACUUGGAAGUGCUUCAUGACCUUGUAAUUUGAAAUCAAAUCAAAUGCGCUGUUUUAAAAUGUAUGUAAUAUAUGAAUUAUUUUUAUGUAGCUCAUCUUGAUCUGUUGGUUGAGCGGUUGAAUUAUCAACUAAAAGAUAUUGAGUUAUAAAUUUGUAUA